AGGAAGGGUAAACUUCUGAUAAUACUGGAUAAGUUAGUAUAUCGCAUGAUAUACAAAUGAAAGCUACGGCACUAAAGGNGAGCUUUGCGUCCUAUUAGCUAGUGGUAAGGUAAGAGCUUACCAAGGCGAUGAUAGGUAGCCGGCCUGAGAGGGUGGACGGCCACAAGGGGACUGAGAUACGGCCCUUACUCCUACGGGAGGCAGCAGUC
rnacentral:rRNA from 1 species